AACGAACGCUGGCGGCAUGCCUAACACAUGCAAGUCGAACGAGACCUUCGGGUCUAGUGGCGCACGGGUGCGUAACGCGUGGGAACCUGCCCUUAGGUUCGGAAUAACUCCCCGAAAGGAGUGCUAAUACCGGAUAAUGUCUUCGGACCAAAGAUUUAUCGCCUUUGGAUGGGCCCGCGUUGGAUUAGCUAGUUGGUAGGGUAAAAGCCUACCAAGGCGACGAUCCAUAGCUGGUCUGAGAGGAUGAUCAGCCACACUGGGACUGAGACACGGCCCAGACUCCUACGGGAGGCAGCAGUGGGGAAUAUUGGACAAUGGGCGAAAGCCUGAUCCAGCAAUGCCGCGUGAGUGAUGAAGGCCUUAGGGUUGUAAAGCUCUUUUACCCGGGAUGAUAAUGACAGUACCGGGAGAAUAAGCGCCGGCUAACUCCGUG
rnacentral:rRNA from 1 species